GUGUAAAAAUUAUACUUCAUAUAAUUAUUACUAAACUAAACUAAUAGUAUUGCAUUAGUAGUACUAUAUAGUUAUUACAUAUAAUAAUAUACUUUUACCACUAUAUCUAUGAUUCCUAAGUUAUAUCGUACAUCAAGAAAGUAUAGGAUUUAACAAUGAAAAAUCUUGGAUAUCUAAUAUUUGGUGAUAUGAAGAACUUAUUUCGGCAUUUGAAAAUUAAUAGACUGAUCCAAAUGUGGGGCAAUAAUGAAAAUAUAUGUUCAUGGUGGAGAUGCUCUGUGACUCGAUGUGGCCAUUCCCUUACAAUCAAAACUGGAACAUGCUUCAGUACCUGGUUCUAUCCAUUCAACGUCAAAUCCUUAUCAUUUACAGCUGGUCUCAAAAA
rnacentral:lncRNA from 1 species